rnacentral:rRNA from 1 species
AAUUUACAAUGGAGAGUUUGAUCCUGGCUCAGGAUGAACGCUAGCGGCAGGCUUAAUACAUGCAAGUCGAGGGGCAGCGGGGUAGCAAUACCGCCGGCGACCGGCAAACGGGUGCGGAAC